rnacentral:sRNA from 1 species
UACUACGCGGAGCUCGCGAUUCUCCUGGA